rnacentral:rRNA from 1 species
GACGAACGCUGGCGGCGUGCUUAACACAUGCAAGUCGAACGGAAGGGCCCUGCUUUUGUGUGGUGCUCGAGUGGCGAACGGGUGAGUAACACGUGAGUAACCUGCCCUAGACUUUGGGAUAACUUCAGGAAACUGGGGCUAAUACCGGAUAGGAGCUCCUGCUGGAUGGGGGGCGUUGGAAAGUUUAGGCGGUGGGGGAUGGAUGGGCGGCUUAUCAGCUUGUUGGUGGAGUAGUGGCUUACGAAGGCUUUGACGGAUGGCCGGCCUGAGAGGGUGACCGGCCACAUGAGUACUGAGAGACGGCGCAGACGCCUACGGGAGGCAGCAGUGGGGAAUAUUGCACAAUGGGCGGAAGUCUGAUGCAGCAACGCCGCGUGCGGGAUGACGGCCUUCGUGUUGGAAACCGCAUUCGCCUGUGACGAAGCGUGAUUGACGGUAAUGGGUAAAGAAGCACCGGCUAACUACGUG